CUAACGACUCUGUGCGUGUUUCGAGAGAUUGUUCCAGAAGCUUUGUCCUGGUGAGAAGGUAUGUGUGUUUAAUCUAGAAAGAAGACAUGAAGAGGAGAAGAACUUGGGCGAGACCCCUACCUCUUGAUGAUGAUGAUGAGAAUGAUGAUGAGAAUGAUAACAAUGAUGAAGAAGAGGAGGAAGAAGAAAGUACUUCUGACAGAAGAGAUAGUUUAAGAAAACGAAAGAAAGUCAAUUACUGGACAGAUGCUCAUGUUGAUGGAGAGGAUGAGGAGGAUGAGUACGAGGAGGAUGAGGAGGAAGGUGAGGAGGAAGGUGAACACAGCCAGACAACACCAGAAAACAG
ensembl:lncRNA